GAGAGCCCGGGUGCUUCUCUUCGUCGAAGCCCGCGCCUCGCUUACGGGACUCGAGGUUGUCGAAGCCGUCGUCUUCGUCGCUGGUCUGCUCACCGCCACUUUCGUUCGACUUUCCAGUUUGACCGGAGAGGAAAUCCGCGGCAGGUGUGAGCGAGAAGCGGCCAGGACUUCCAGCACCAUGGCCAGCGCCGAAACCGAAGGCGGACUGUCCGUAGCGCUGCGUCAGGUCCAGCAAGGGCGGAAGUGAUGGUAGAGAUGACGUGCUGUGAGGGAUUAAUCGCACCGCCUGGAUAAGGCCCAGCGUUGAGCUUCAGCAGCUACAGCCAACAUUAAGCAAAUGUGAAGGUAUAGGGAGAUUUCUGCAGGUUGGUAAAAAAGAAAAAGAAAACAGCAAGUCAGUGUUAAAUCUUUAGUACAAGAUAGCUUUUCUACUAGUAUAUAAUCUAGGCCUACAUAAUUCAGUCAGUUCUUGAAAGUUGUUUUAGGGUUUCUACAGUGAAUGUUAAAUAAAAAUUAUAAAUAAUUAAACAAGCAAUUAUCACUCAAUUGUUAUAAACUCUUACUUGACAAAAGAAAACAAUCAAAAAGUGCUCAAUAAAUGACAAACUUGGCGCUAAAAUG
rnacentral:lncRNA from 1 species